GUGGCUAGUGUCGCCUUUGUUGUUGUUUAAUCGUGAAACGAGGCGAAAAAGGCGAAACAAAUUGUAGCCAUUUAAUACUUAUAUUCCUGUGAUUUCAUUUACCAAAUUGAACUUCGUAACUUAUACAGAUGCAUACUGUCAGUCAUUCCAUACAAGCUGACUUAACGCUCAGUCAAUUUCCAUCCAUUAGGCCCAUCAUGCUAUCAAAAGACUAAAACUAAUGUUUGAAUCUCACAUAUGGAAUACACAUCUCCAGAGUAAAGGACUUUUCUGAAUCUCGCAAUUUUGGUGGUGUAACCUGCAACAUUAUGUUUACUGUUAUAGCUGUUUCUACUUCUGUCUAAAAGAUAACCCAGCUAAGAGAUAGAGUUUCAGUGACAUGAAGAGUGUGAUGUGAAUAAUGAUGUGUGUAUGCAUACAUGUUCCAGUUCUGCUUGAUGCCUUACUAAAUUCAUCACCCGUAUGAUAAAGCAUCAGGAAAUCUCAACAUGUGGAGUAAUGCUGUUGGUUUCUGUGAUUUCCAUUUUUACGGUUUUUUCAUCAUGAAAAUUGCAGUGUGCUUCUUAGAAAAGAGCACGUAAGAGAUCCUUAAGCCAAUGCUGAUCAUUCUCCAUGACGGAAGAAGGACUUCCACCUACGUUCGGCUACAUCCUAAUCUUCUCGACGUACGAUCAUCCAGCUUCACUGCUUCAGUGCUUCUUAUGCUGAAAAACAACUUUUCUUGCUUCACUGGCGAGGCUGGAUCACUUCAGUUGC